rnacentral:rRNA from 1 species
CCCUUAGAUGUUCUGGGCAGCACGCGCGCUACAAUGGUCUUCGCAAACGGAUGCAUUCUCGAAGGAGAAUGCCAAUCUUGGAAUCUAUGCCUUGGUCGGGACAGUUGCUUGCAAUUUUUCGACUCGAACCAGGAAUUCCUUGUAAUCGUGAUUCAUCACAUCACGAUGAAUACGUCCCUGCCCUUUGUACACACCGCCCGUCGCUCCUACCGAUUGGGUGUGCUGGUGAAAUGUUCGGAUCGGCCGUUUGUCGCGGUUUCCGCGUCAUGCGGCUGAGAAGUUCAUUAAACCCUCCCACCUAGAGGAAGGAGAAGUCGUAACA